GUGACAGAUGCGCUGGAAAAACCUGGGGGUCCCCCCGUUUCCGGCUCAUAAGGGUGGACGGUGCGAGCUAGCAGCAGACUACUUGGAUCUGAAGAUUCUCGGCACACCGCCCUGGUCGCCACCAGAGCCGCCGCGCGAGCAGAGGCCGCACUGGGACCAGAAAGGCGCGGCGCACAUUAGCAGCGCUUCCAGGCGCAGGACCGAGGUGUGCUCUCUCAGGGUCGCCCCCCUUCCCUUCUUUCCAAGGACCCUAACCCAGAGGGUUGCGCAUUCGCACUAGCUUUUUCUGGUUCCCUAGUGCUAAGUUACCUGAGAAACCAAAAGGACUGGUCGUGCGUAUACAUUUUCCUUUUAGAAGCGCCAUGGGUGUUGGGAUGCAGAUGUGGGUAUUUUUUAAAAUGGAACGUAAUGGGCAGGAUUCAACCAUCUGGUCACUUCCGAGGCACCUAGUGAAUUAUAUACUAAAUUUUACCCAAGUAAAUUGUAAACUCCUAAAAACUAUAUGUAAUGACUAUUGAAAAGCUAGGUUCAGUUCCUCCGCUGAUUUAUAUAGAAAUGCCAGGUAAUGUUUUAAAAGACUAUUUUUGUAAGUAUGCCAUCCUAGUACCUUGAACUACAGUGUAUUGAAUUUCUGGUUAAUAUCAGAAUUCUUCUCCAUAAUUCAAACAAAAGUACUAACUAUUAACCAGCUUUUUAUGUAUCAAGCAACUGCAUUUGUUACAUGUGAACCAUCUCGCGUAUGUGUGUGUGUGUGUGUAUAUAUAUAUAUAUAUAUAUAUAUAUAUAUAUGCACACAUAAUUAUUGUCAUUAUACAAGAAGUGUAUACAAAUUGUAGAAAAUUAUAAAAAGCAAACGAGCAAUUUGAGAGGUCACACCUGAGCGAGAUAAAGUGGCGCCAUCCUGUGAUCCAAACUCCUGGAGGCUGAGGCUGAGGCAGAGGAUCCCUUGAGCCUAGGAGUCGAGGGCCAGCCUGGGCAAACAUGGCCAGAUCCCCUCAGAAAAGAAAAUUUAAGUGACCCUAACACUUAGAAAGAGAACUAGAAAUGGGAGAAAUAAGUGAACAAUGUGUAAAAUUCAAAGUGUACAAUUCCCAAACAAGGGAAAGAAGCAAAGCAGGGCUCUGUUAUUUUAUCUCAUUAUUAUGCUAAUUUAGCUAAAUAAUGGCUUAGAAAAUAUUUUAAGGAUGCUUAUGCUGCAUUAAAAUGACAGUGUUUAAUGCGAUUUCUGAUAUCUGUAUCAGACUUGUGUUAUUGCUUUGUUUUAAGUAACCUGGGCCUUGCCUACCUCCAAUGCUUCUCAUGACUUGGCACAUUCUAGAAUAGGGACAGGCCAUGGAGAGUGAACUGUCCACACCCACUCCUCCUCUACUUGCUUGAUGGUUCUGGAGUGACCAGUGGGGAGACUGAGGUGACAGAGCUGUGCUACUUCAGAAGCCAAGGCUGGGGUGGGGAACCAAGCAGGGCCAGCAACCAUAAGGCAGUGACUUCCCUGGAUCAGUCAGAGGAACUACAACUGACCUCCAACUGGAUCUUGAAGGGACCCAGGGAUGGGGAGGUGCUGGAGGUACUGGUGGGGAUCAGGAAGAAUUAUUUUAGAAAAUAGAAAAGGAAUUUUGGAAGAAAAACAAUGCUCAUGGAGUCAGGGCCCUAGAGGGUAUUCAGAUAAGCUGUCUGUUAGAGUGAGCCACACACCUGGGAAGGAGUCAGGGAGGAGACCAAAGGAUGCUGCGUAGUAAGCAAAGGAGAAUGGCUUUUCUACUGAAAGAAUUGGGAUUCAUUAAGGAAAUUACAAUUGUGAUUAGAAUGUUCAUUUUGAUUAACAACAGUGUUCGCUACAAUCAAAAUGAGAAAUAUGUUCAAAGGAGGUGCUAUCUAGAUUAGAAAAUGUUGAUUCUUGUUAGUUUAUCAACUAAAAUAUUGCACAGUGGAAAAGAAGAGCGAAUGGCUUGCUGGAUGUAGGCUCAUUUAUCAGGAGACGGAGGCUGUGGCGUCUAGAACUCCUGCGUAGGUUUUUACCUGGGAGUGUGACUAAUGGCACAGAGAAGUUUAAUAGCGCUGGCAUAUUUCAGGAGGCUGCUGAAUAGCAGACAGUUGCAAAUACAUUAUAUUGAGGGAUCUGGUGCCAGGAUGUUCUUUGUACUAGAGAAUAUUGCAGAAAUGAUCUGCAUAUAUAUCAUGGCUCCAUGUUUACUGUUCAGACAGUAGUGUAUACAUCCUUCAAAGAUUCAAAGUCUUAAGUUUUUUGAUAAUGCCUGUUUUCAUAAGAAUCUGUAUUUUUAUUCCUAUUUAAGUGGUUGAGUUUGUGACACAUUAGAGGGGAG
rnacentral:lncRNA from 1 species